rnacentral:rRNA from 1 species
ACGCUCGACACCUACGGGAGGCAGCAGUGGGGAAUAUUGCACAAUGGGGGAAACCCGUGAUGCAGCGACGCCGCGUGGAGGAAGAAGGUCUUCGGAUUGUAAACUCCUGUUGUUGGGGAAAAAGAGGAUGGUACCCAACAAGGAAGUGACGGCUAACUACGUGCUAGCAGCCGCGGUAAUCUGAGCGGGCUGGCAAGGC